UUUCUUGGAAAGCAUUUCUACAUAAUCUAUGUUUACUUAUGUUGAAGGUGAAUCAUUUGAAUGGAAUGAUUGAAGCAGUGUUGAUCGGAAAACGUUUUGUAGUACACUUUUGAUCAGUUCCCAUAUAUGGUAUGGAAUGAGAUUUCCAACUUGGAUAAGAAAGUCCUGUACAUUUUGAUAUCUUUGUAACGAUGACAAGUUCAAGUCAAUUUCUGCGGGAUAAGAGAGUGCAAAAAUCUCCAAAAUCUCAUAUCUUGAACUUCUGGAGAUCAUCAGGGAGUGUUCGCUGCUUGAAUCUUUUGCCAAAGAAGGCUUGUGGUAUAUGAUAAUCUCAGGUCCUAACCAAAUGAACUGCACAAUUUCACAUCACUUCGCUUGAUGCAAGAAAGAAAAGGGAAGAUUAGUACAAAAUAGCCCAUGUUCCCUUAACGACAUAGAUGGCAAGAAUUCUCCUGAAGAAACAGGUCCAAAUUUGUUGCUUGUGAGUUAGCCAACAACACCAUCAUGGCUGGUGAUUAGAACAAAAUCUGAAAAGGGUUAAAGGCCACAAACAACUAGAUCAUUGCUUCAGAAACUUGGGGCUCCAUUCAGUUGCCAUUGCACCGUGAACUUAUUUUGAUGAUAUAAGAGGAAUGUGAAGCCUGAAAAACUGCAGUUGCAAGGCAGCAAUGUAGGCACCUUGAGACAAUUUCUUCGUCCAAAGAAAGUUAUAAUAUGUUCAUCCUUCGAUCAUAUAUAGGUUGGUAAAUCGUGGUGUUGCAUGAGAAAAUGUAUUGGUGAAGAGCAAGUGUUGUGAGUCCUAUAUGAGCCACAGACUACAGAUAGAAAAUUUCACAUUUUGGGAUUUGUGUGCAUAAAUUGGGAGUGUUAAUAGAAAUAUGA